rnacentral:tRNA from 2 species
GGUCCCGUAGUGUAGCGGUUAUCACGUCGCCCUGUCACGGCGAAGAUCGCGGGUUCGAUUCCCGUCGGACCG